GUAAUGAUGAGUGCUUGGUGUGAUGGGGUGCUCCGUGUCACCUGGGGCUCAGAAGCAGUAGUCAGGUGGGGAAGCACGACAGCGAGCAGAGCACAAAUUACCUUGCAGCAUGGUGUCAUGGCCCAGGAGAGCUUCUGCUUUGCUCCCACCAAGCACCUGAGCUGGCUCCAGAGCAGGCCCCUGAUGCGGGGCCAGGAAGUGCCAUGAUUGAUGAGCACGAGCGGGACGUGAAACUGGGUCAGAUGAACGGGCUGAACCCCAUGAGCUGCUGUGGCCAGGAUGCUAUCAGAAAGCCAGUGUGGGGGUGUUGACCUUGAUGGAGCCACGAUCCGUCCCUGGGUGGCAGCACAUCCCUGGCCUCAGAUAACAGGGGCAGCACAGCUCGUGAGGAGGAGCGCUUGGCGGCAAAGCAUUGGCAGGGCAGAGGGACAGCGGUGAGGGCUGCUCCCAGCCCCAAGCCCUCACCAACCAGCCCUGAGUCAUGCUCUGACAAAUGUCAAGGUUCCUCAUGAUGCCCAUCUCGGCGAGGGAGCUCUGCAGAUCACAGAAGCUCAGCAGUCCUUCCUGUCCCAGCCUCAUCGAUCCGAUGCAGCGGCUAUGGAAGAAGAGCAGGGAGGCACAGGAGAGCCUGCACAUCGCAGCAAAACUCUGGUUACCUGGUACAGAUCAGCCCCUCCUUGCUUCUGGCAAGCAGAUUUGUUGCUAUUUUGCAAACCAAACAGCAGGUCCAGCCCCUGGGGAGCUGCUGCUGGAUCACACAGCAGGUUGUCCCCGAGCCCAGCAUACCCUCCUUGCUGACCCACUGCCUCCACUGCUUGUCUGCAUCAUGGGGAAAAAGGAGACAGGACUAAAGCUUCCCCCCUACCAGUUUCCUUCAUGGCCCCUAAGGCUCACAGUCUGCUUUCUGCAAGCAGACAGGUUGUGAUUUCCUGCUAUUCUCAUGGGAACCAGGGCCUAAAGGGAAUACACCAGCUGGCGAGUGCCCAGCCCGUGGCACUUUUGUCCCCACGAGGUCUCCAGCAGCUUCAGCUCAGUGGCGGUGACUGCAAUGCACCCAGGUGGGCUUUGCAGGUCUCUUUCCUCCGCAGUGCAGUCAGCGGGGUGCAGAGCAAGUGGACAGGAUGGGGGUGGCCUGGCAGGUGGUGGGGAGAGGCACACGAGCCCCAGCUCAGCACCCCCAGGCAUGCUUUCUUUGGAUAAACUCAGUGCUGUGUGGGUCAGCCCCUUCCCUCCACCCUGCCCUGCAGCACCUGCCUGUUUGGAUGCUGGUUGGAUGCAGGUCACUUUACAGAGGUGCCAGCCAGAUGCCUUAAGACUGAGGGAAAGCCAAGACAAAGCCAAAAUAAUGCAGCUGGCUGCUUUAAUUUGCAGGAAGAGCCAGGCAGCAGCAGACUGGUUCACGGGCGAAUCUUUCCUGCUGUAUCAAGCAUAAAUUAAUCAGGUAUUCCAUUUCCUGAGGGAAGAAAAAAAAGAGCAGAAUAAUUCACUUAGAAAUAAAGACUAGAGCCAUUUUUCCCUUUGACA
ensembl:lncRNA